rnacentral:rRNA from 1 species
UCUAAUGAGACUGCCGGUGACAAACCGGAGGAAGGUGGGGAUGACGUCAAGUCCUCAUGGCCCUUAUAGUGGGGCUACACACGUCAUACAAUGGCUGGUACAAAGGGUUGCCAACCCGCGAGGGGGAGCCAAUCCCAUAAAGCCAGUCGUAGUCCGGAUCGCAGUCUGCAACUCGACUGCGUGAAGUCGGAAUCGCUAGUAAUCGUGGAUCAGCAUGUCACGGUGAAUACCGUUCCCGGGUCUU